GGCUCCUUAUCCAUAUCCUUAUCCUUAUCAGUAUCCUCCACCACCCCAACAUGGUUAUGGUGGAUACCCACCUGCACCCGGACAAGGGUAUCCGGGUUAUCCACCACAACCCGGUUAUGGUGGGUAUCCACCAGUGAUGCAACCACAGAAGCCCAAGAAGAGUGGUAAAGGAAAUAUGGCUUUGGGAUUGGGAGCUGGAUUGCUUGGAGGAUUGCUGGUUGGUGAUAUGAUUUCCGAUGUUGGUGAGAUGGCUGCCUAUGACGAUGGCUUUUCUGAUGGACUUGAUUUUUAGGGUUUUUUUUUUUUUUUGUGGCAUUGUAAUAAUUUCUUUCCUUUGGUAUGUAAUUAACCAUGGAUUUGAGUGACUAUUUUAUAUGAAUAAUUAAGCUUCUUUAUAUUAAAUUGAUGGAUUUUUGUUUGGAUU
rnacentral:lncRNA from 1 species